UACGGUUACCUUGUUACGACUUCACCCCAGUCAUGAACCAUACCGUCGGCGCUUGCCUCCUUACCGAUAAGGUUACCACAUCUACUUCUACCUAGAUUCCACUUCCUUGAUGUGACUGUCGGUGUGUACAAGGACCGGAAACGUAUUCACCGCGGUAAGCUGAUACUACAUUACUAUCGAUUCCCACUUCAUGCAGUCGAGUAGUUCACUGCAAUCCGAAAUGAGAACGGCUUUAUGGGAUUCGCUCACUCUUGCCAGUUGCCUGCCCUUUGUACCGUCCAUUGUAUCACGAGUGUAACCCAUGGCAUAAAUGACAAGAUGACUUGACCUCCUCCCCACCUUCCUUCAGCUUUUCGCCGACAGUCCCCGUACAGUGCCCAGCUUAACCUGAUGGCAACUCCGGGCAAGGGUUGCGCUCGUUACUUAACUUAACCUAUCAUCUCACGACAUGAGCUGACCACUGCCAUGCCUCACCUCUGACCCACUCUCUAAAAGAGAAAGUUACAUCUCUGCAAUUGUCUAGGUCAGAUCAAACCCUGGUAAUGCUCUUCGCGUUGCAUCAAAUUAAAUCACAUGCUCCAUCGCUUGUGCGGGCCCCCGUCAAUUCCUUUGAGUUUCAGCCUUGCUACUCUACUCCCCAGGCAGUGUACUUAUUGAGUUAUCGACUACACGGAAAGACUUUCAAUUACCCCCCGCAUC
rnacentral:rRNA from 1 species